rnacentral:lncRNA from 1 species
AGAAACACAACUAGCACACUCUCUUAUUACACUCUAGCUUCUCUAGGCCUAUCUUAACUCUUUUUGUUCUUACACUCAUCAUCAAGCAUCCACACAUUCAAAUCAACCAACUCUCACAUUCAUUAAGCACAAAACAUCAGGUGAAUUCUUGCAAAUGGUCAGUUGGUCCAAGUCAUUUGGUUGGGUAAGGGAAGGCUUUUUUCAAGUGAUUCAAGAGGUUCAAAACAUAUGAUCUUUAAGGUGGUUUACUCUCAAAACAAGUAGCCUUGACAUUGCACAUAAUAUAUCUAAGAAAGGGACCAACUCAUGCAUACAAUGCUCAAUCUCCAUUGUUCUACCCUUUUCCCAAACAUAUCAUUACACAAUCAUUCCCAAAUGUCAAACCCAACUCACAUCUCUCACCAAAAGAUCUUAAGAACUUUAACUCUUUCUUUUUGAAAUCUACAAGGGAUUUUUCUACAACCUCAAAACAUUUCUUAGCUCCUAACAACUUUGCUAGCCCCCCUUUUUCUUUUCUUUUUUCUUUUUUUUUUUCUUUUCUCUUUUUUCAUUUCUCCCAAAUCAUAAUCACAACACUCACCCCCACCUAUAGCUAGACAAUAGAGUGUCCAAUCUAACAAGAAUGAAGAUCAAGCAUUGUCGUUCCCGAUACUCUCAACAUUAUGCACAUGUAAGACUUUCCGAAAAAGGCCUCACUCAUCAAACAAUGAAAGCUUAAAAGGAGGAAAAAGUUUUGGGAGUGGUCUACCACUAGAGUUUGUCAAAAAAAGAUUGGUAUAAAAGAUGUGACAACUCAAGUGUGUAUAGCCAUGACUCAGUACACAAG